AGAGUUUGAUCCUAGCUCAAGAUGAAUAUUGGCGGCAUGCUUAACACAUGUAACCCAGAUGGGAAACAUGGGAAAUUGUGUUUCUAGAGGUGGACGGGUGAGUAACGCGUAAGAACCUACCCUUGUAAAGGGAACUACAACUGGAAAUGACUGCUAAUGCCCCAUAGACUGAGGAGAAAAAAGAGGAAUCCACCCGAGGAGGGGCUCACAUCUGAUUAGCUAGUUGGUGAGGCAAUAUCUUACCAAGGCGAUGUUCAGUAGCUGGCCCUAAAGGAUGAUCAGCCACACUGGGAUUGAGAUAUGGACUAGACUCCUAUGGGAGGCAGCAGUAGGGAAUUUCCUAUAAUGGGAGAAAACCUAAUGGAGCAUGCCAUAUAAAGGUAGAAGGCGCAUGGGUCAUUAACUUCUUUUCCUAGAGAAGAAGCAAUGACGGUAUCUGGGGAAUAAGAAUCGUCUAACUCUAUUCCAACAACCGUGAUAAAACAGAGGAUGCAAGUGUUAUUCAGAAUGAUUGGCGUAAAACAUCUGUAAGUGGCUUUUUAAGUUCGUUUUCAAAUCCUAGGGCUCAACCCUGACAGAAAGUGGAAACUACAAGAUGAAGUACGGUAUGGGCAGAGGGAAUUUUUGGUGGAGUGGUGAAAUAGCUAGAGAUCGAAAAGAACACCAACAGUGAAAGCACUCUGUUGGGCCGACAAUGACUUUGAGAGAUGAAAGCUAGGGGAGCGAAUGGGAUUAGAUACCCCCCAGUAGUCCUAGCCAUAAAUGAUGGAUACUAGGUGUUGUGCGUAUCGACCCGUGUAGUGCUGUAGCUAACGCGUUNUUCUAUAGCUAACAUGUUAAGUAUCCCACCUGGGGAGUACAUUCGUAAGAAUAAAACUCAAAGAAAUUGACGGGGGCUCGCAUAAGAAGUGGAGCAUGUGGUUUAAUUUGAUGCAAAGCAAAGAACCUUACCAAAGCUUGACAUUCCAUGAAUCCUCUUGAAAAAGAGGGGUGCCUUUGGGAACACGGGCACAGGUGGUACAUGAUUGUUGUCAGCUCGUGCCGUAAGGUGUUGGGUUAAGUCCCGUAACGAGCAUAAACCUCAUGUUUAGUUGCCAUCAUUGAUUUUAGAACCUUAAAUAGACUUCCGGUGAUAAGCCAGAGGAAAGUGAGGAUGACGUAAAGUCAUCAUACCCCUUAUGCCAUGGGCGACACACGUGCUAUAAUGUCGGGACAAAGGGUCGCGAUCCUACGAGGGUGAGCUAACCCCAAAAACCAUCCUUAGUUUGGAUUGUAGGUUGCAACUUGCCUGCAUAAAGCUAGAAUUGCUAGAAAAUAUUGGUUAGCCAUACGACAGUGAAUUCAUUCUCGGGACUUGUACACACUGCCCGUCACACUAUAGGAGCUGGCCAUGCCCGAAUUCGUUACCUUAACCGCAAGAAGGGAAAUUCCGAAGACAGGGCUAGUGACUGAAGUGAAGUCAUAACAAGGUAUCUGUACUAUAAGGUACGGCUG
rnacentral:rRNA from 1 species